rnacentral:rRNA from 1 species
GGACAGCGGAGGUCCUUAUUGAUCUUUCCCACACGCCUCGUAGGGUAGGAUAAAACUCCUGCAUUAACAGUCCGGGUAGCUCCUUCGAGAGAGGUCGGCUGGGUCUCCCGUAUCCCUGCCGGACCUAAGGGACUCGGCAUGCUUUGGUGCAAGCGGUACGGUUCUUGGUUUGCGGCGGCUAUAGUAAUAUAGCUAUUGGGAGGGACUUAAACCCGUGUCUACCUUCUUUGUUGCUUUGGCGGGCCGCUUCGGCGUCGGCUCCGGCUGAUAAUGCCCGCCAGAGGACUCAAACUCUUGUUAUAGUGUCGUCUGAGUAAAUUAUAAUAGUUAAAACUUUCAACAACGGAUCUCUUGGUUCUGGCAUCGAUGAAGAACGCUCCGAAAUGCUAUAAGUAAUGUGAAUUGCAGAAUUCAGUGAAUCAUCGAAUCUUUGAACGCACAUUGCGCCCCUUGGUAUUCCGAGGGGCAUGCCUGUUCGAGCGUCAUUAUGACCAAUCAAGCCCAGCUUGGUAUUGGGGUUCGCGGUUUCGCGGCCCUUAAAAUCAGUGGCGGUGCCGCCCGGCUCUAACCGUAGUAACUUUCUCGCUAUAGUGUCCGGGUGGCUCCUCCAAAACUCCCCCACUUCUAGGUUGACCUCGGAUCAGGUAGGGACACCCGCUGAACUUAGCAUAUCAAUAAGCUGAGGAAAA